rnacentral:siRNA from 1 species
AUACCUUUCUCGGCCUUUUGGC